UACAGAGGGUGCAAGCGUUGUUCGGAUUUACUGGGCGUAAAGGGCGCGUAGGCGGCCACCGCAAGUCAAUUGUGAAAUCUCCGGGCUUAACUCGGAAAGGUCAACUGAUACUGCGGGGCUAGAGUGCGGAAGGGGCAACUGGAAUUCUCGGUGUAGCGGUGAAAUGCGUAGAUAUCGAGAGGAACACCUGCGGCGAAGGCGGGUUGCUGGGCCGACACUGACGCUGAUGCGCGAAAGCCAGGGGAGCGAACGGG
rnacentral:rRNA from 1 species